UAGUACACUUAAAUUUAAUUAAUAAAUACUAGAAUAUUAGAAGUUAUGUUCUUUAAAUUUAAAAAAUUUGGCGGUGUUUUAGUCUAGUUAGAGGAACCUGUUUUAUAAACGAUACAACACGCAUUAUCUUACUUAUUUUAGUACUCAGCUUGUAUACCGUCAUUAUAAAGAUGAUUUAGGAGAAAAUAUUAUUGGAAUCAGAGUAUUGAAUAUAUUAGAUCAAGGUGCAGCUUAUGAAUAGGAAAAUAUGGGUUACAAUAAAAUUUAUUUAAUAUGGAUUAAGUAUUUAAAUAUAUAUAUGAAGGAGGAUUUAAUUGUAAGAAAAGAAAUAGUAAGAUUUUCUGAUAGAAGCUCUAAAUUAU
rnacentral:rRNA from 1 species